rnacentral:rRNA from 1 species
AACGAACGCUGGCGGCAUGCCUAACACAUGCAGGUCGAACGAGAUCUUCGGGUCUAGUGGCGCACGGGUGCGUAACGCGUGGGAAUCCGCCCUUUGGUUCGGAAUAACAGUUGGAAACGACUGCUAAUACCGGAUGAUGACGAAAGUCCAAAGAUUUAUCGCCAGAGGAUGAACCCGCGUAGGAUUAGCUAGUUGGUGUGGUAAAGGCGCACCAAGGCGACGAUCCUUAGCUGGUCUGAGAGGAUGAUCAGCCACACUGGGACUGAGACACAGCCCAGACUCCUACGGGAGGCAGCAGUGGGGAAUAUUGGACAAUGGGCGAAAGCCUGAUCCAGCAAUGCCGCGUGGGUGAUGAAGGCCUUAGGGUUGUAAAGCUCUUUUACCCGGGAUGAUAAUGACAGUACCGGGAGAAUAAGCUCCGGCUAACUCCGUGCCAGCCGCCGCAGUAA